CCUACGGGCGGCUGCAGUGGGGAAUAUUGGACAAUGGGGGCAACCCUGAUCCAGCCAUGCCGCGUGUGUGAAGAAGGCCCUCGGGUUGUAAAGCACUUUCAGUGAGGAAGAACGCCUGGUGGUUAAUACCCAUCAGGAAAGACAUCACUCACAGAAGAAGCACCGGCUAACUCCGUGCCAGCAGCCGCGGUAAUACGGAGGGUGCGAGCGUUAAUCGGAAUUACUGGGCGUAAAGCGCGCGUAGGUGGCUUGAUAAGCCGGUUGUGAAAGCCCCGGGCUCAACCUGGGAACGGCAUCCGGAACUGUCAAGCUAGAGUGCAGGAGUGGAAGGUAGAAUUCCCGGUGUAGCGGUGAAAUGCGUAGAGAUCGGGAGGAAUACCAGUGGCGAAGGCGGCCUUCUGGACUGACACUGACACUGAGGUGCGAAAGCGUGGGUAGCAAACAGGAUUAGAUACCCUUGUAGUC
rnacentral:rRNA from 1 species